rnacentral:rRNA from 1 species
UAUUGCACAAUGGACGAAAGUCUGAUGCAGCAACGCCGCGUGGAGGAUGAAGGCCCUUGGGUCGUAAACUCCUUUUUUCAGGGAAGAGAAUGGACGGUACCUGAAGAAUAAGUCACGGCUAACUACGUGCCAGCAGCCGCGGUAAUACGUAGGUGGCAAGCGUUAUCCGGAAUUACUGGGCGUAAAGCGCACGCAGGCGGUCUCUUAAGUUUGACGUGAAAGCUCCCGGCUUAACUGGGAGAGGUCGUUGAAUACUGGGGGACUUGAGGCAAUGAGAGGGGUGUAGAAUUCCCGGUGUAGUGGUGGAAUGCGUAGAUAUCGGGGGGAAAACCAGUGGCGAAAGCGGCACCCUAGCGUUAGCCUGACGCUCAUGUGCGAAAGCGUGGGGAGCGAACG